UACGAGUACCUCAAGCGUUAUCCGGAAUCACUGGGCGUAAAGGGUCCGUAGGUGGCCUUAUUAGUCUUGCGUUAAAGUUCGGGGCUCAACCCCGAGUUUGCGUAGGAAACGGUAAGGCUUGAGAGUGCUAGGGGUGUGCAGAACUCAUGGUGUAGGGGUGAAAUCCGUUGAUAUCAUGGGGAAUACCAAAAGCGAAGGCAGCACACUGGAGCAUUUCUGACACUGAGGGACGAAACCCUGGGUAGCGAAUGGG
rnacentral:rRNA from 1 species